GACGAACCGUGCGAACGUUGUUCGGAUUCACUGGGCUUAAAGGGCGCGUAGGCGGACUCGCAAGUCUGUGGUGAAAGCCCCCAGCUCAACUGGGGAAGUGCCGUGGAUACUGCAAGUCUGGAGGAGGGUAGGGGCAUCUGGGACGCUGGGUGGAGCGGUGAAAUGCGUUGAUAUCCAGCGGAACUCCGGUGGCGAAGGCGAGGUGCUGGACCCUUUCUGACGCUGAGGCGCGAAAGCCAGGGGAGCAAACGGG
rnacentral:rRNA from 1 species